rnacentral:rRNA from 1 species
GGGUUGUGAGGUUAAGUGACUAAGCGUACACGGUGGAUGCCCUGGCAGUCAGAGGCGAUGAAGGACGUGCUAAUCUGCGAUAAGCGUCGGUAAGGUGAUAUGAACCGUCAUAACCGGCGAUUUCCGAAUGGGGAAACCCAGUGUGUUUCGACACACUAUCAUUAACUGAAUCCAUAGGUUAAUGAGGCGAACCGGGGGAACUGAAACAUCUAAGUACCCCGAGGAAAAGAAAUCAACCGAGAUUCCCCCAGUAGCGGCGAGCGAACGGGGAGCAGCCCAGAGCCUGAAUCAGUGUGUGUGUUAGUGGAAGCGUCUGGAAAGGCGCGCGAUACAGGGUGACAGCCCCGUACACAAAAAUGCACAUA